rnacentral:rRNA from 1 species
CCUACGGGAGGCAGCAGUGGGGAAUAUUGGGCAAUGGGCGCAAGCCUGACCCAGCAACGCCGCGUGAAGGAAGAAGGCUCUCGGGUUGUAAACUUCUUUUCUCAGGGACGCAGCAAGUGACGGUACCUGAGGAAUAAGCCACGGCUAACUACGUGCCAGCAGCCGCGGUAAUACGGAGGAUGCGAGCGUUAUCCGGAUUUAUUGGGUUUAAAGGGUGCGCAGGCGGCCUGUUAAGUCAGCGGUAAAAGCCCGGGGCUCAACCCCGGCGAGCCGUUGAAACGGGGGGGCUAGAGUUGGAGAGAGGUAUGCGGAAUGCGUGGUGUAGCGGUGAAAUGCAUAGAUAUCGCGCAGAACCCCGAUUGCGAAGGCAGCAUACCGGCGCCCAACUGACGCUGAGGCACGAAAGCGUGGGUAUCGAACAGGAUUAGAUACCCGUGUAGUC